rnacentral:tRNA from 1 species
CGGGUGUAGCAUAGUGGCUAAUGCCCCAGCCUUCCAAGCUGGUGAGGAGGGUUCGAUUCCCUUCACCC